CGCUUUCGCCAUGUGAAGACACAGCAAGAAGAUGGCUAUUUAUGAGGAAGUGGACCUUCACCAGCCUCCAAAUCUGCUGGUGUCUUGAUGUUGGACCUCCAGCCUCCAGGACUGAUAUAAUUGGAAAAAAAUUGGUUAUGUAACCAAGAUCUUCCUUGAAAUGUUCUGAGAGUGAUGCUCAUUUAUUCAGGUGUGACCAGCCCAUUAUAAGGAAUGAAGGUUGGCCUUAUCAAACCAAUGCUGGCAAAGCCCUGAGGAAAACUGGCCUGGUACCUGGUUCCCAGGGUCCCAACCUUACAGGAUUCUUGCUGAAGGCUGGAGGCUGGAAUCAUCUAGAAGCUUCUUCACUCACAUGUCUGCCUCAUGGGCUGUGAUAGCUGAAGGAUAGGAUUUGCUGACCAGAGCACCUUCAUGUGGCCUCUCCAUGUGGCUUGGACUUCUCAUAGCCUGGCAACUGGAUUCCAAGAAGGAGCACUUGGAAUUAUAGGUCCUUCGGUUGUGCUAUGUGGGAUGCCACCUCAGCAUGGCCUGAUGAGUGGUGCUAUGUUCACGCCCAGUACCCGAACAGGAGAAACCCCAGGCCACUGAAGCAGAGCGCGCGAACUUAACCACUCGGCCACGGGGCUGGUCCCAAAAGUGUUUAAUUUUAAUGAAGUUCAAUUUAUCUUUUUUUCUUUUUUGUCUGGUGCUUUAGAUGUCAUGUCAAAGAAAAUAUCCCUAAUUCAAACUAAUAAAGAUUUACCCCUAUGUUUUCUUCUAAGAGUUUUGUAACUUUAGCUGUUACAUUUAGGUCCAUGAUUUGAGUUAAUUUUUGUAUAUGAUGUGAGGUAAGGGUCCAGCUUCAUUCUUCUGCAUAUGGAUAUUAAUUUGUCCCAGUGCUAUUUGUUGAAAAAUUGAUUUUUUUCCCCAUUGAAUUGUCUUGGCACCCUUGUUGAAAAAUUAGACUUUAAAUAAACACAUCAAAUAUGAGGAAAGAUAGUACUG
rnacentral:lncRNA from 1 species